GGAGGGAUGUCCGAAUCUGGUAAGGGGCCGGACUUGAAAUCCGGUGAAGCCGUUAUGGUGUGGGGGUUCAAAUCCCCCUCCCUCCGCCA
rnacentral:tRNA from 1 species